CCUACGGGAGGCAGCAGUGGGGAAUUUUGCACAAUGGGCGAAAGCCUGAUGCAGCAACGCCGCGUGAGUGAAGAAGGUCUUUGGAUUGUAAAGCUCUUUUGUGAGGGAAGCGGUACCUUGAGAAAAAGCACUGGCUAAUUCCGUGCCAGCAGCCGCGGUAAUACGGAAGGUGCAAGCGUUGUUCGGAGUGACUGGGCGUAAAGGGCGCGUAGGCGGGAGGAUAAGAGGAUUGUGAAAACCCUGGGCUUAACCUAGGACGUGCAGUUCUGACUGUUCUUCUUGAAUGUCCGAGAGGUUAGUGGAAUUCCAGGUGUAGGAGUGAAAUCCGUAGAUAUCUGGAGGAACACCGGAGGCGAAGGCGGCUAACUGGUGGAAAUUGACGCUGAGGCGCGAAAGCGCAGGUAGCAAACAGGAUUAGAUACCCUUGUAGUC
rnacentral:rRNA from 1 species